CCCACCUUUUAUGAGGGAUUACAUCCUCGUGCAUGAGAAAAAGCUGCCAUUUUUUAUCCAGUACGAGUCCCACUCUCUGAUGGAGAAGGCACACGAUGGGUGCGGAAGGAUGGAUAAGUUGGAUUUUUUAAAAUUUGAUAAUUAAAGUUGAGUAAGGUAGAUCAAAUUAGGGUAAGUUAGUGAUUCGGCAACUGCUGAGGAUGAGGAACACGUCGACAUGAGUGGCAAUUCAUCAGACGGGUCGUCAAAGUUGCCUGAUUUCAUGGUUUUAUCCUUGUCCCGCCGUUCGAUUCUAGACAUGUUCGGAAAUUCUUACUCCCAACCAGACCCAUCAUUUACUUCUUGCCUGUACCAAUUGCAAUGUGAUCUUCUACCUCGUGGGGGAUCAAAGAUUUUCCUAAAUUUUCAGCUAUUGACGCAUUAGCCAAGCCACCAUCAUCAUGACCGGACCGCUCUCUUCAAUUUACAUAUGCCUUAACGAAAUGAAAUUCGGUUAGAUACCUCUAAUAGUCAAGUAUUAAUUGAAAAGUCGUGUUAGAUAACAACAAUGUAAGUUAGUUAAUCUGGACAUUAAAAAACAGAUAUUUCGUGUCACUUUAGAAUUUGAGCAAGAUUUUAAACCAGUGGAACAUUAUAUUGACCUAAAAAAUAAUGGUGUGAAUUUAUUAGGGAAACUUGUAAAUGUCCGAGUUGUUUGUGUCACGUCUAUCCUGUAGUAGUGAGGUUUGUCAUCAAGCUCAGUCUGUGUCAAAUAACGUGUAGUAGUCAAAUAAAUAAACUGACUAAUUUAUUGUAAAAAUUAGGCUUCAGGUUUAUAAGUUAGAGGAUAUCUAUUUAUCGUGGUAUUGAUAAAUAAGUGUUUAAAAUCCUUAUAUCCUAAUUAAUAUCAAAUAUUUUCUUCAUCUUUCAGACGUACUAUUAUUUUGUAUUGAUUUACUAUUAUAAUUUAUAAGAGAUCUUACGAGCUAAGCUAUACUAAUUGUCAAGUAACGUGUAGUAGUCAAAUAAACUCCUGACUACUUUAUUGUAAAAAUUAGGCUGACAGGUUUAUGAGUCAGAGAAUAGCUAUUUAUCGUCGUAUUGAUAAAUAAGUGUAUAUCCUAAUUAAUAUCAAAUAUUUUCUUCAUCUUUCAGACGUACUAUUAUUUUGUAUUGAUUUACUAUUAUAAUUUAUAAGAUAUGUUACGAGCUAACUAAUAGUAAUUUUUUAAUUUGAAUUUUCAUUACUUGUAUUUAAAAUGUUGCAAAAUAAUUAAUUAUAAGCAUAACGCAUAAUGUAUAUGCAUAAUGUACUACUUUAAAUUUUAAUAAUAUACUAAUUUUUAGUGUUAAAAAUAUUUAGGACAUUAUUAUUUAUUUGUCAAAUUAUUGCAUUUGAUAAAUAUUUGAUGGCACAUUAAUAAACAAGAUCAAAAGAACGUAAAUAUU